UGUGGGUGGGUAGGGGAGCGUCGUGCAGCCGGGGAAGCGCCGGAGUGAUCCAGGUGUGGAGGCUGCGCGAGUGAGAAUGCAGGCAUGAGUAGCGAAAGACGAGUGAGAAACUCGUCCGCCGAAUGACCAAGGGUUCCUGGGCCAGGUUAAUCCGCCCAGGGUGAGUCGGGACCUAAGGCGAGGCCGACAGGCGUAGUCGAUGGACAACGGGUUGAUAUUCCCGUACCCGUGUGAACGCGCCCCUGGUGAAUCAUCGGUACUAACCGUCCAAAGGGUGAUCGAGUUCCUUCGGGAGCCGAGAGCCUGCUGCACGGGACCUUCGGUGGUAGUAGCCAAGCGAUGGGGUGACGCAGGAAGGUAGUGGGGCCGGUCAGUGGUUGUACCGGUGUAAGCCCGUAGGCGUGACACAGGCAAAUCCGUGUCGCAUUUGAGCCUGAGAGGUGAUGCGUAGCCGAAUGAGGCGAAUUCCAUGAUCCUAUGCUGCCGAGAAAAGCCUCUAGCGAGCUUUCACACGGCCCGUACCCCAAACCGACACAGGUGGUCAGGUAGAGAAUACCGAGGCGAUCGAGAGAACUGUGGUUAAGGAACUCGGCAAAAUGCCCCCGUAACUUCGGGAGAAGGGGGACCAGUCCCGGUGAGGACCUUCACGGUCGGAGCUGGGGGUGGUCGCAGAGACCAGAGAGAAGCGACUGUUUACUAAAAACACAGGUCCGUGCGAAGUCGUAAGACGAGGUAUACGGACUGACGCCUGCCCGGUGCUGGAAGGUUAAGAGGACCGGUCAGCGGAGCAAUCCGCGAAGCUGAGAAUUUAAGCCCCAGUAAACGGCGGUGGUAACUAUAACCAUCCUAAGGUAGCGAAAUUCCUUGUCGGGUAAGUUCCGACCUGCACGAAUGGCGUAACGACUUCUCUGCUGUCUCAACCACAGACUCGGCGAAAUUGCACUACGAGUAAAGAUGCUCGUUACGCGCGGCAGGACGAAAAGACCCCGGGACCUUCACUACAGCUUGGUAUUGGUGUUCGGUUCGGUUUGUGUAGGAUAGGUGGGAGACUGUGAAGCCCGCACGCCAGUGUGGGUGGAGUCGUUGUUGAAAUACCACUCUGAUCGUAUUGGACCUCUAACCUCGGACCCUGAUCGGGUUCAGGGACAGUGCCUGGUGGGUAGUUUAACUGGGGCGGUUGCCUCCCAAAAUGUAACGGAGGCGCCCAAAGGUUCCCUCAGCCUGGUUGGCAAUCAGGUGUCGAGUGCAAGUGCACAAGGGAGCUUGACUGUGAGACCGACAGGUCGAGCAGGGACGAAAGUCGGGACUAGUGAUCCGGCACCGGCAUGUGGAAGCGGUGUCGCUCAACGGAUAAAAGGUACCCCGGGGAUAACAGGCUGAUCUUCCCCAAGAGUCCAUAUCGACGGGAUGGUUUGGCACCUCGAUGUCGGCUCGUCGCAUCCUGGGGCUGGAGUAGGUCCCAAGGGUUGGGCUGUUCGCCCAUUAAAGCGGCACGCGAGCUGGGUUUAGAACGUCGUGAGACAGUUCGGUCUCUAUCCGCCGCGCGCGUAGAAACUUGAGGAAGGCUGUCCCUAGUACGAGAGGACCGGGACGGACGAACCUCUGGUGUGCCAGUUGUCCCGCCAGGGGCACGGCUGGUUGGCUACGUUCGGAAGGGAUAACCGCUGAAAGCAUCUAAGCGGGAAGCCUGUUCCAAGAUGAGGUUUCUCACCCCCUCGAGGGGGUAAGGCCCCCGGCAGACCACCGGGUUGAUAGGCCGGAACUGGAAGUGCGGUAACGCAUGCAGGUGACCGGUACUAAUAGGCCGAGGACUUACCACAA
rnacentral:rRNA from 1 species